CCUACGGUAGACAGCAGUGAGGAAUAUUGGUCAAUGGCCGGAAGGCUGAACCAGCCAAGCCGCAUGAAGGACGAAGGUGCCAAGCAUUGUAAACUUCUUUUGUCAAGGGACAAAAUCAGGCUCGAGAGCCUGACCGAGGGUACUUGAAGAAAAAGCAUCGGCUAACUCCGUGCCAGCAGCCGCGGUAAUACGGAGGAUGCGAGCGUUAUCCGGAUUUAUUGGGUUUAAAGGGUUCGUAGGCGGACUGUUAAGUCAGCGGUAAAAGCCCGGGGCUCAACCCCGGCGAGCCGUUGAAACUGGCUGUCUUGAGAUGUCGAGAGGUAUGCGGAAUGCGCAGUGUAGCGGUGAAAGGCUUAGAUAUGGCGCAGAACUCCGAUUGCGAAGGCAGCAUACCGGCGGCGAUCUGACGCUGAGGCACGAAAGCGUGGGUAUCGAACAGGAUUAGAUACCCGGGUAGUC
rnacentral:rRNA from 1 species